rnacentral:tRNA from 1 species
GGGUUGGAAGCAUAAGUGGUAUAUGCACUCGCCUGUUAAGCGAGGGAUAGUAGGUUCAAGCCCUACACAACCCGCCA